ACACUGAGCUUUCGGGACACGACCUUGCCCCGUCCUCAGCGAAGGGCGGUCUUCCAGGGUGAGGCUGGCUCAUUGCACUCCGAGGCAGCUGACCUCUGGGGCCAUCCCGAAUUGGGAUGAGCCCACUGCACAAUUUUUGCGUGAGGAAGUCUGCGUUCACACGCU
rnacentral:snRNA from 9 species